CUCUGCAUGGUAUUACAAUGGUGGAUGCAUGCUGUUAUACAUUUGCCCAAACCCACGGGAUUUCCAACACCAAAAGGGAACCCUAAUUUGCACUAUGGCCUCUGGUGAUCAUGACGUGUCAAGGUGGAGUCUAGUUCCUGUCCCCUAGAGUGUGGGUUAGCGUUUAUGACGGCCUUCAUGAAUGAGUGCAAUAGAAGUGACACUGUAUGAUUUCUGAGGCUGGAUCAUAAAAGGCGAAAGAGAAACCACUGCAAGCUGGCUUUUGGGAUGCUCACCUUUGGAACCUGGCCGCCAUGUUGUGAGAGAGCCCAGGCCUCGUGGAGAGGCCACAAGUAGAUGUUCUGGCUGACAGCAAUCAACAAUUGCCAGAUAAACAACUGAAUAAGCAUUCAGAUGACAUCAGCUCCCAGGCCUUGGGGAUUCCAGCUAAGGCCUCAGACAUUGAGGCACAGAGAUAGGCUGCUCCCAGUGUGCCCUGCUCACAUUCCUGAGCCAUUAAAACCACAGAGACACGAAAACGAUGUUGUUUCCAGUCACUAAGUUUGUGUGUGAUUUGUUAUGCAUGAAUGGGGGCUGAAAGAGGCAACCAGCCCUAGGGCAGACUUAUCUACUCUCCCACCUAAACAAAUCCUUUGUUUUAUAAAAUUUAAGUUAGGAUGGGAGACAUAGAGAUUGUUGGUGCUUGAAGGAACCCUGGGGAUCACUUGACCCAACAUUCCCUCCUCUUCUCCUGAGAGUCAGAUGUAGAAUGAAUGGUGAAUGCUUGACAGUAAGGUCAGCUUUAGGGUUGUUUGAAGGAUGAAAUGAUAAAAUGCACAGAAAAAUGCCUGGCACUUAGUAGUUGCUCAAUAAAGCUUAAUUCUCUCUUCC
rnacentral:lncRNA from 10 species